rnacentral:tRNA from 1 species
GGAGGGGUGCCAGAGUGGUCGAUUGGGGCGGUCUCGAAAACCGUUGUGUGCGCAAGCACACCGUGGGUUCGAAUCCCACUCCCUCCG